GCACACAAAUAACAAUAUUGACAUGGAAAAUGAACUGAACCAACAAACUAAAAUCUUUAUAUUUCUCAUGAUCCUUAGUGGAUUUAUUAGCAUAUAACAAGUCCCAAUUCCUUUUCAGCUGGCAGUAAAAUUCAAAUUAGGCAGUUGGUUGCCAAACACCAUUUGUUGACUAACAUUCUUGAUACUUGACAAACUGACCCAAAGGCACACCAAGAACAGUCU
rnacentral:misc_RNA from 1 species